ensembl:sense_intronic
AAGAAGGCAGUGUUCAGGCUCUCGGCUGUCUCUGUAGAAAUGGUGGUAGUAGGAAAGAGAGUCCAAAGGGAGAUUUUUAUGUUUUUAAGAGUUAUUUUUAAAGUUUUCAAUUUCACAUCAUUUUUAAAUUUUAAUUUUCAACAAAAUUCUAUAUGUUCAAUUGCAUGUGGUUUAGAAAUUAAAGCUAUUUCCGACAAGGGUCUUGUUUGCCAUGGGAUUUUCCCUAAUUAUCCACAUCUUGUAUGAAUGUGGCAUUUCUGUUACAAAUGAUCGCGGAAUACUGAUAUGCCACUAUGAAUUGAAGCCACAGUCUGUAUUAGGAUUCCUUCUGCUGUUUGUGGAGACGAUAUCACACAGUAACAUCCUUGUAGUAACACACAGAACACGUUCACACCUUUAAGUAUGUAUUCUACCAAUCACUCUGCCACUGCCAGCCACUCCUCGUAUUUGCCACCUCUAUAGCUUUCUUUUCAGCAUCUGGCAUGGUUAGAACCAGAGUGCCUAGCUCUUUUAUAAACACUUCUCGCCAGAGUAAUAUGCAGUUAGAGGCCAUGCCUAUUGUUUUGUUGAUUGGUAGCUCAUUAAAAUCAAUAGUGUUUCACUCUAUAAGUGUGUCAUAAAUUAUCUAUUUGUUUACUCCAAAGUUGCUUUAAGUUUAACCAAAGUGGCUAUGGAUAUUCCUUUUUUUUUAAAGGAUGCGUUUAUUUUUAUGUUUAUGAGAGGGUUUUUGUUUUUGUUUUUGCCUAGUUAUGUUUAAAUAUACCACAUGCAUGCCUGGUUCCUCAUAAGGAACCUGUACGUCAUAAGAGGACAUCAGAUCUCUGGAGCUGGAGUUAUAGACAAGUAGGAGUCACUUCACUGUAUGUGAACUAGAACCAAACUCAGCUCCUAUGCAAGAAUAGCAAACACUGUUAACACCGAGUCAAUCUCCAGUCCAUUGCUACAUACAUUCUUUAUAUUCAUUCUUUCUUUAUAUACAUUAUAUACACUCUUUAUAUACAUACUUUCACGUUUUCAGUCCAUUGCUAUAUACAUUCUUUCACGUUUUCAGUCCAUUGGUAUAUACAUUCUUUAUAUACAUUCUUUCGCGUUUUCAGUUCAUUGCUAUAUACAUUCUUUCACGUUUUCAGUCCAUUGCUACAUACAUUCUUUAUAUACAUUCUUUCACGUUUUCAGUCCAUUGCUACAUACAUUCUUUAUAUACAUUCUUUCACGUUUUCAGUCCAUUGCUACAAACAUUCUUUAUAUACAUUCUUUCACGUUUUCAGUCCAUUGCUGUAUGCAUUCUUUAUAUACAUUCUUUCAUGUUUUCAGUCCAUUGCUACAUACAUUCUUUUUUUCCCAUUUUUUAUUAGGUAUUUAGCUCAUUUACAUUUCCAAUGCUAACAUUCUUUAUAUAAAUUUUUUAUAUACAUUAUAUACAUUCUUUCUUUCAUGUUUUCAGAUGAACAUAAGGGUUCAGUUCACUUAGUGCUAUAUUAGACUUUGUCACUGUCACCAAACAUUAAUGGAAAGAAGAUCAAAGACAAAACGUUUAUUUUAGCUCACAGCUUCAGGGCUUUGGUCCAUGGUUGGCCUCUGCAUUGGCCACAAAACAGGAAUGUGACAGUAGAAGGGCAUGGUGGAUGAAAGCUGCUCAACUUUUAGAAGUGUGGAAGCAGACAGGACUUAAAGCAAGAGAAAAAGCACAGCCCAGUGACCUCUUUCAGCUCACCUCCUAAAGUCUCCAGCACUUCCAACUAUCCCAAUAAUACUACCCACUGAGACUAAGCCUUUGGUGCAGGGAUCUCUAGGAGUUACUCUUGAUCUGAACCAUAACAGGUACCGACUUUCUUCUAACUAUCGCUGAAAUGAGGUAGAUAUUCAGUGUAUGUGUUAGGAUCAAAAACUAAACAACACCCCCUCCCGUGAAAACCCCACCAUUGUUGUUGAAUGGCAGAUUAGUGACUAUUAUAUGUGUAGAGAUGUGUUAGGAGAGUAUAAGGAUACCCUGUAAGGACAUUGAAAAAAAUGACCUUACAUUUGCUUGUUUAUUUGUUUGUAUGUAUGUAUGUAUAUAUGUAUGUAUGUGUGCACAUCUGUCACGGCACAUGUGUGGAAGGUUGUAGGAGUUAGAUCUCUCUUGUCAAGUUUGGCCCAAUAUGCAGAGUCAUCUCACCAGCCAUGGAAGGCAUUUUACUCACAUUAAUAGUCAGAGAAGUAGGAACUAAAUGCUUAAGUCCUUAUGCAAACUUAAUUCAAUGGUUAUAAAACCUUUUUAAAAAAGGAUUUAUUUAUUUAUGUGGUGUGUGUGUGUGUGUGUGUGUGUGUGUGUGUGUGUGUGUGUGUGUGAAGCAUGUGCAGGUGCCCACAAGGCCAGAAGAGAGUCAGUUCCCUUGGGGCUGGAAUUAUCAGAGGUUGUGAGCCACCUAGUAUGUAUGCUAGGAACCUAAGCAGGGUUCUGGAAGAGUGGCAAGCAUUCUGCACCUCUGAGUUCUUUCUAGCCCUCUAUAAACACUUUAACUGCCUUUAGACUUGAUAAGUUUAAUAUGCUUGGUUCUCUUUAAGCAUUCAAAUGUUGUGAUUUUACAGCCAGCACUCUUUGAGUUCUUAACCUCUUCUUAUAAACCUAAUUAAACACAUAUUUGAAAUGUAGCUCAUCUAAAGCACUUCAAUGUUGUGGGAAACUGUUAAAAUUCUUUCAUAUGUUUUCAUUAAUCUGAAGUUUAGCAUAAAUUAAAAUUACAAGCAUAGUUUGUUGACGUGUGAAACUUAUAAGCAUAAUAAACACAACAUUAACUAACUACAAAAUUCUGUCCAAGUGAUUAUGUACUGAUUCUUAAAUUUACUAUCGAAGGUUUAAAAUAUUAUGGUUUUGAUUUGGAAUCACGAUGUUGCUGCUUAAAACUAAAUAUUCACAGUGUUCUUGUGCCCACGGUGAUCUAGAGUGACCACCAGUAAUGGUAGCCUUGUUUUAUGAAGUGAGGUAGGUGACUUGCAUAGCUAGAAGUCAGGAGAAGGUGAUAGGUGCCAUUUGUGUCUAGUGUCCUGCUCUCCCCAUGGUUGGUAAGGGAUCAUUUGAUGUAGCCCUGCCACUAAGGGCUUGCUUCUGCCCUGAAUCCUCUCCUUUUCUGUUUAAGACAGGUGCAUUUCCCUCCUUUCAAACAGUCUUUCCACCUUUUCAUUGAAAGAUUUACCCUGUUUUUUUUUUUAAUCUCUCUUCCUAUUGGUGAGGUCUGAACUCUGUUUUCCAGGCUAAAAUGGCCUUCUCGUUGGCUUUAUAUCCAAUCAGUCUAUGCCUUUAGGCAGACUGUUCUCAAUAUUGCUUUUGACUACUCAGCUCAGAUGAGGCUCUGCCUUAGGACCUUCAGGUGUCUUUUGCCCCAUCCUCUCCUUUCUGACAUCACAUAUUAGAAUGUCCAUCUUUAACCUGUCAGUCACAGCUCUCUCAGCUCUCUCUGCUCAUGGUUUGCCUCUUCAAAGUUUCUCUAAUCACCUUUUCUGAUUUGUGCUUCCUCUUGUCAUCCUCCCUCUUUCUGACCUACUCCCAGACAUUCUAUGGUCUCUUCACUAGAAAAUAUUGUCUUUACUGAUUACUGGCCUUCUUGCAAAUAAUUUAUUUAUCAUACAGUUGUAUUGCAGUGACUUCAGCUUCCUGAUACUUGCUGGCACUAAUGUGUUCAGCAGCAUAUGAGUCAGAUGUACAUGUUGAGUGAAGAAAGAAUGGCUCCUAUUUAGACGGAAAGCCCAGGGGAAAGCAGUGGAUUUACCUAUCUGGUUUAUAGCUGCAUGGUAGCACCUCUGCUAUACCAGGCUCUGAUACAUUCUGAAUGAAUGAUGGGCAGUUUUUUGUUUGGAACUCUGUGUGACAUUUCAAAUCCUAGUUUUAACUCUGUCUUAGUUAGUGUUUUAUUGCUCUGAAGAGACACCAUGACCAAGACAAUUUGUAUAAUGGUAAACAUUUAAUUGGGUCUGGCUUACAGUUUCAGAGGCUCAGUCCAUUAUCGUCAUAGUGAGGAAGCAUGGAAGUAUGCAGGCAGACUUGGUGUUGGGGAGCCAAGAGUUUUACAUCUUGAUGAGAGGGCAGCCAGGAGAAAACAGACUCUUCUGCAGGCAGCCGAGAGGAGGCUCCCUUUAACACUGGGUGGAGCCUGAGAUUAGAGCCUCAAAAUCCAACCCCACAGUGUUGAAUUUUCCCUCACAAGGCCAUACCUACUCCACCAAGGCCACACCUCUAAAUAGUGCCACUUCCCGUGGGCCAAGUAUAUUCAAACCACAGAUUUAACUGACCAUGUUUUCUGCAUGAUGGACAACUGAUCUUUCACCUCCCUAGUCCCAGUGAUAGUAUAGUCAAAGGAGUUUUGUAGGGUAUACCAGGGAGGCUGAGUUAAAGUAACUGUGAUCACUCCGUUAGCUUGUUGGCUUGAUUUUUUUCUUUUGUCUUACAUUUUUAUGUCAAGAAAAAAACAGAAGACCAUUAUUGUAAGCACAAAGCCAAGAAUAAGAUGGAAUACUUAAAAUGAUUGGAGGACUUAUCAUUGCUAAAGUAACUUGUCAUCUCUGGCAAAGAACUGACAUUAAACACUGCCAUUUAUAAAAUGAUUUUAUGUACAGAGUAAUUUAUAGUAAAACUCACAGUAUUUAAAGUAAGAUAAGUAUGUUCAAAAGGAAUAGACCUGAAAAUCCCUAAGUAAAAUUGCCUUUGAAAAAUAUCCG